rnacentral:misc_RNA from 1 species
GAUGAAGAACGUAGCAAAAUGCGAUAAGUAAUGUGAAUUGCAGAAUUCAGUGAACCAUCGAAUCUUUGAACGCACAUUGCGCCCGCUGGUAUUCCGGCGGGCAUGCCUGUUCGAGCGUCAUUUCAACCCUCAAGCCCCCGGGUUUGGUGUUGGGGAUCGGCUCUGCCCUUCUGGGCGGUGCCGCCCCCGAAAUACAUUGGCGGUCUCGCUGCAGCCUCCAUUGCGUAGUAGCUAACACCUCGCAACUGGAACGCGGCGCGGCCAUGCCGUAAAACCCCAACUUCUGAAUGUUGACCUCGGAUCAGGUAGGAAUACCCGCUGAACUUAAGCAUAUCAAUAAGCGGAGGA